rnacentral:rRNA from 1 species
AUUGAACGCUGGCGGCAGGCCUAACACAUGCAAGUCGAACGAGUGGCGGACGGGUGAGUAAUGCCUGGGAAACUGCCCGAUGGCGGGGGAUAACUACGGGAAACGGUAGCUAAUACCGCAUACUAUCAGAUGAGCCGAGGUCGGAUUAGCUAGUUGGUGGGGUAAAGGCCUACCAAGGCGACGAUCCCUAGCUGGUCUGAGAGGAGGACCAGCCACACUGGAACUGAGACACGGUCCAGACUCCUACGGGAGGCAGCAGUGGGGAAUAUUGCACAAUGGGCGCAAGCCUGAUGCAGCCAUGCCGCGUGUAUGAAGAAGGCCUUCGGGUUGUAAAGUCCUUUCGGUGGGGAAGCGUUACCCGCAGAAGAAGCACCGGCUAACUCCGUGCCAGCCGCCGCGGUAAUAC